rnacentral:rRNA from 1 species
UUAAUUGGAGGGCAAGUCUGGUGCCAGCAGCCGCGGUAAUUCCAGCUCCAAUAGCGUAUAUUAAAGUUGUUGCAGUUAAAAAGCUCGUAGUUGAAUUUCGGGAUCAAUAUUUCGGUCAUGCCGUUGGUAUGCACUGUUAUCAUUGAUUUCUCACCUUCUAAAGAACCGUAAUGCCAUUAAUUUGGUGUUACGGGGAAUUAGGACUGUUACCUUGAAAAAAUUAGAGUGUUUAAAGCAGGCUCACGCUUGAAUACAUUAGCAUGGAAUAAUGAAAUAGGACAUCCGAUUCUAUUUUGUUGGUUUCUAGGAUCGAUGUAAUGAUUAAUAGGGAUAGUUGGGGGCAUUAGUAUUCAAUUGUCAGAGGUGAAAUUCUUGGAUUUAUUGAAGACUAACUACUGCGAAAGCAUUUGCCAAGGAUGUUUUCAUUAAUCAAGAACGAAAGUUAGGGGAUCGAAGACGAUCAGAUACCGUCGUAGUCUUAACCAUAAACUAUGCCGACUAGGGAUCGGAUGAUGUUAAUUUUUUAAUGACUCAUUCGGCGCCUUACGGGAAACCAAAGUGU